GCCAGCGUGGCAGAGCGGUUUGAGCAUUGGACUACAACUCUGGAGACCAGGGUUCGAUUCCUGCUUGGCC